GACGAACGCUGGCGGCGUGCUUAACACAUGCAAGUCGAACGGGAUUUAGUAGACAGCAGCCUCGGCUAAAGAUUACUAAUGAGAGUGGCGAACGGGUGAGUAACGCGUGAGCAACCUGCCUAUGACAGUGGGAUAGCCUCGGGAAACCGGGAUUAAUACCGCAUAAAAUCGUAGAAACACAUGUUUCAACGGUCAAAGAUUUAUCGGUCAUAGAUGGGCUCGCGUCUGAUUAGCUAGUUGGUGAGAUAACAGCCCACCAGGGCGACGAUCAGUAGCCGGUAUGGGGGGGGAAACCCGCACAAUGGGAAAGAGAAACGCGGCCAAAACCCCCGGGAGGGGAGAGUGGGGGAAAUAUGGCAAAAGGGGGAAACCACGGGCGGCGGGCCCGCGGGAAAAAAAAGAGGGUAGGUAUAGUGAAAAUUUGUGCUAUGGGGAAAUAUAGGGAGAACCCCAUAGAAGAGGACCGCGUAAAAAUAU
rnacentral:rRNA from 1 species